GGCCUCCUGGUGCUUACCAGAGGCUGUGUUCUUACACUGAUGCCAUAGAAAUAGGAGGUAAGGCCCGGGCUUGGGCUGUGUUGUGAAUGGGAAGACUCGG
rnacentral:snoRNA from 1 species